GUCUGCAUCUGGCACGAGAAAAUAUCAGGAUCGGACGUCCGCUUUGCUUCGUAUAAAUAAGCGCCGCAGGGAUUGUUUUCUCAGUGUCCUGCGACCAGACAACUGCACGUAUUCCUGCUUCACUCCGACAAAGACAGCGAUUUCGCGAUGAAGACAUUCGGAAUCAUCGUGUGCUUAGGACUUUUAGCAGCAGCAUGUGCAGCCACACUGUAAGUGUACAGGAAUCCUGCUUGGUCAUCCGUUCAAAUUUUGGAUUCGUGAGUCCCCGGAAAGUGAGCAUGCACUUCAGCAAACCGAGCAAGACAAAAAGCUCCAGGCUUCUGUCAUCCUGCUUGGCGAAUCAGUGGACAGAUGGAUUGAAAAUAGCAAGGGGUUAGAGCCAGAGUUGCCACAGGGUCGCGAGAAAAUAGUGGACGAGACUGUGUACGAAACCGAAGCACUGGACAACCCAGAGGACGAGGACGACGCGGAAGACGACAGUGAUGCCGUGGUCGAGUAUGGACUCGGAAAGAAGUUGAAGAAGUGGAGGAAGAAGGCGAAGAAGGCCCUUGUCGACGCUGCGAAGGUGGUCGCUGUAAACAAGGUGGUCGGUGCCGCAGCUGGCGCUCUCGGAUGAAGAAUGUCAAGUUUGCAGCGGCGGCAGAAGAAGAACCGACAGCUUUGAAAGGCAUUUCCUUAGGACAGCAAAGACUAAGGUCAUAGUGUGAUAUUGAUAAUCAAUGAAAAUAAUUUAUCUAUUGAAAUCUUUUUCGUUGUUGAACAAUAAACAUGUAUCUUUUA